rnacentral:tRNA from 1 species
GAGGGUAUAGCUCAGUGGUAGAGUACGUGCCUAGCAUGCACGAGGUCAUGGGUUCAACGCUGGUACCUCCA